rnacentral:tRNA from 1 species
GGGGUUGUGGCUCAGAGGUUGAGCUUUCACUUAGCACGUGCCAGGCCCUAGGUUCGAUCCUCAGCACCACA